CCCUGGCCGCACGCCCCGCACGUCAAGGCGUAGAGUCCGGGACGGCCUUGCACGGAAGGCGGUGACGAGUCUUGACGCGUCAGUUCGAAGUUUUCGAAGUUCGGAGUGAUUGUGUCAUGCCUUCUCUCUCCAACGCUUCUCCUCACUGGAGCAGGGGCUGCUGCUGUGUUGUUGGAGGGCUGUUGGGGCCUGGAAUCAUGAGGCUCGGAGUUUUGAAUAGGACAGUAGUCAAAGAAGUAGAAUUUGGAAUGUGUACAGUCACAUGUGGUGUUGGUUUUAGAGAAGUUAUAUUAACAAAUGGGUGUCCUGGAGGUGAAUCCAAGUGCAUUGUUCGGGUAGAAGAAUGCCGUGGACCAGUAGAUUGUGGCUGGGGUCAACCAAUUUCAGAAAGUCUUCAAAGUGUUAGACUGGCUUGCAUUCAUACAUCUCCUGUAAAUCGGUUCAAAUAUAUAUGGAAACGUCUAAGGCCAGACCAACAACCUAUCAUACUUCCAAAUGAUUCGGCAAUCCUGGAAGUACGAAGAGAUGUUCACCCCCGGGCUUUUGAGUGUGACACUCUGGAUAGCAAUGAAGUGGUAGCAUCUGUUAGAUUCACAGUCUAUACAGUAAAUGAAAUGCAGAUGAGAUCAAGCCAACCAGACAUUGAUAUAGCCCUAGUAUUUGUGCUGACCAUAGAAGUCAUUGCCUGUAUAUUCAUAAUCUUCAUAUUGAUCUUCAUAAUUAUAAAGUGGGUGGUAUUGAAAGCAUCCUGGGGAGGAAAGGGCUCCAGAGCUGAGAUUCUUUCUGACGUGAGUUCUAUGAAAUACAAAGAUUCAACUUCUCUUGACCAGGCACCAGCAGAAAUACCCAGACUGGAAGACAAUACAUUAAGUGAGUGGAAUGAAGAAAAUAUGGAUGGUGUAAGCUGAACCAAAAGAUUUUAGAGCUAUCAGAUUCAUUAUUAUAAAAAUAAAAUAUUUACCAAAAUGCUUCAAUAAUGCUUCAAUAAUGUUGCAAUAAAUUUGCCACAGUCUGGAGAUAUACAGUGUGAAGGCAAG
rnacentral:lncRNA from 1 species